rnacentral:tRNA from 1 species
GAUGUAGCCAAGUGGAUCAAGGCAGUGGAUUGUGAAU